GGUUUAUGAACAUUUCCAAAAGAAAAACGAGUCCAGCCAAUGUUAAGCCAAUAGCCCAAAGAGCAAAUGCAUAGUAAAAGAAUUCCAAAUCGAAUCACUCAUCAUCUUUGCGAAAAUGCCACACUCAAAGAUACGUCUCAUAUAGACAUUCAACAUGCUGAGGCAACAUACAUGAAGCUAGAAUUCAAUCCAAUUCGAGCUUUAUUAAGGCCAUCUACUGUGUCGAGGCACAUUCGAUUUUUUUACUUCUGCUGGCAGAGACACAGCUUCCUUUAGAUAAUCUAUAUAGUAGUCAUCUAUGAGCAAAGGAUAAGGAGAAUGUUUCAAGUCUUCCAAUGUAUUUAGUUGUGGCUCAAAUAAUCCAGAUGUGAGCAUGCUCGACAACACCGCCAAAUACGUGUUAGUUAAUAUAAAUCCAGCAAGAAUCAUAAUGAUGUGAAUCGUCAUCUGUUGCCAAUUCAAGACACAAAUUCGCGAUUGUGAAAUGUAUAAUACGUGACACAAGCUGUUUAGCAAGUAUAAACCAAUCUCAGACCUGGCAGAUCCACAGCAGGCAUAAAGCAUAAUCAUGCCAUAAGCCACAGUGGCAACCACGGCCAUCCACACAGUCCAGGCAAAAGGCUUUUCAAAGUACAAAUAGCUGGCAAUGGCACGGGAAUGGGGUACAAUAAUGUAAUCUUUUAGCAAAUAAAGCGGCGAUGUACUUGCAUUGCCAUUGCAAUAGGAAAAGCACCAUCAUUUUCUAUUUCGGGCAAAAGCUUUAACGUUGCGUUGUGGCGCCUGGUAAAUUCCAGAAAUAUAUUAUAAAUAUACCCAGCAUGAACGAGUUGACCUUUACGAUUCACAUAUUGAAUCUUGCGUGGCUCAUUUGUGUUGGAAAUCGUUCGAACAGGAUAAUGGUGGAAAUUGCGAAGAAGCUGCCAUCUGGUGAAGUAUUCUUCUAGCUUGGAUAAUUUUUGGAUAUGCAUUUCUGGAUACGGAAUGUAACUAUAAAAAGACACAUCCCGAUUGUUUUGAUGGAUUAGCAAAGUGUUGAUAAAGCCUUCUCGAAAACAAUAUCUAAAGAGAUCCUGCUGCCAGCUUUGAGGAUCUUGGUCUGUAAUAAAUACUAUAUGAAGUUCAUGUAGUUCCCUCAAAAGAUAUGGUAAAUUAUAAGCCACUUCUGGAUCAAGAGGUGGCACUCUUAUAUCAAUAAUAAUUAAAGCGUUAUGGGAAAAGUUAUCAUGCAAACGAAAUCUUCGAAACUUCUCAGCUGUCAUCUGAAGUUGAAUUGCAGGAGAUAUUAGUAAUUGGAAAUCCAUAUAAAAUUCCUGAAAGUUGAUGAAUACGUUAAGUUCCGUUGCAUAUUUUGCAUUAAGUUCCAUCAAUGUUUGUGUUAUUUCUGGUGUCAUCUUGGAAUUUUGAGUACUAUGCAAUCCAUAUAAGAAAAGUAACAGAAUGUUUAACUGCAUACUGUUGAAGACGAAGAAAUAAUUAUUUGCAAUAAUAAGUAACCGUAUCGUCAAAAAUCGACUAUCCACGAAGCAAACUUAAAGGACACUGCUGGAAUUCCAUUUAUGAUAAUUUAGUUUUGUGUUCGGCCUUAUAUAUAAUUUCAUGGCUUAGGAAAAUUGUUAUAUAAAUAUUAUCUCAGCUAGGCUUAAUCAUUCAUCAUCAGAUAAUCAAAUAUUGUUUU